UUGGAGCAGAGAAGGGAUUGAAUCCUUGAUGUAAUGGUGAACUUUGUCGUAAGGCAUGGCCGCUGGACCAUCUCGAUUAUACUAUAAUUUUUAUUUUAUAUAUUUAUUGGGAUAGUUGAAUAUUUUGGAUGAUUAUCCGAGAUUAAUUUUGAAUUUGGUAUUAUUAUUUUUAAGAUUCUAUUUUUUUUGUUUUUAAAUUAUUAUUUUUUCGAAUUCAUGUUUGGUUUGGAUAAAAUCUAAAAUUCUAAAUGCAUUACAAUUUCAGAUAUUUAUGUCAUAUUAAAUUUGAUUUGAAUUCUCACUUUUUGUUCGGUUUAGUCUUUUAUCAUCCCUACUUUUUUCUAUUAUUAUAACUAGAGAUUUUGCCCGGGCUACGCCCGGAUAUAUUCAAAUAAUUUUAUAUUUAAUAUUUAUAUUACAAUAUAUUACUUCGAUGUUAUAAGAGUAUAAAUAGAAAUUGAAUUAGAAAUGAGUAAGACUUACAAUUUAUUUUUUUACUAUCUAAAAUAUGUAUGGGAUGGUAAACAAAUGCAAAAUUAAUACAAAAUUUGUUAAACUGUAGUUAUUAUCCAAAGUAUCUUUUCUUACAUAUUUAGGUUAUUA
rnacentral:lncRNA from 1 species